CGGAAAUCAAUCUCUCCUCCUUCCACCCUGUCCCAACGAGGCAGGGAAUUUUAAGGGACUAGGAUUGCUGGUUUUCUUUCGGAUCAAGAAACUGAACGAGGCUCGAGUCGUGCGUGGUUUAAGGCCAUGAUGGAGAAAUUUGUGGCGAAAAUAACUGAUGCAGCCAGUGAGGGGAAGAAACUUGGAGUUGAAGAUCCAAGAAGAAUUAUUCACUCAUUGAAAGUAGGAUUGGCCAUAACUUUAGUUUCACUGUUCUAUUACUUUGACACUUUAUACCAAGGUUUUGGCGUUUCUGCAAUGUGGGCAGUUAUCACUGUGGUCGUCGUCUUUGAAUUCUCUGUAGGUAAGUUCAUGACGGUUGGUUGUGCUAACUAAGUUACUUAUUUCGCCCAACAAAACAUUUUUUUUUCCUUUCAGAAGGCAAGUUUAAGUUGCUUUCUAGAAAAAUAACUUGGUAUAAAGCACAUGCCAAACAUGGUUUCCUGGAAAUUCUUUAAGAGUUUAAACUUAUAGAAGUAAUCCUUUAUUUUGCAGGGGCGACGCUUGGAAGAGGCGUAAAUAGAGCUAUUGCAACAUUGUUAGCGGGCUCACUAGGCGUUGGAGCACAUCGGUUAGCCAAUAUUCUUGGGGAGAAAUUAGAGCCUGUAUUUCUUGGAUUUUCUGUUUUCUUAGUAGGUAAAAAAUAAAUAUAUAUAUCCACUGGAAGCGUGUUUGAUAAACAGCAUUGGUUUAGGCUACUACAAAUAAGAUUUUUAACAUAUUUUUGUUGCUAAAAGUUGAUAAAUUAAUGUACCUAGCACAUAUAAGAAACAUCCAGUUUUUAUGUAUUUAGACCAUCAUCAAAUUAAUUAUUGUUUUAAAUCCAAAUGGUGCAGUUUCUUCAGUAACUUUUAUCAGAUUUCAUCCUAAAUUGAAGGCAAGAUUUGACUAUGGACUUCUGAUAUUUAUCUUGACAUUCUGUUUAAUAUCCGUCUCUGGCUACCGGGACGACGAGGUUUUGAAAAUGGCACAUAAAAGGUUGUCCACAAUCCUCAUCGGUGGCUCGGCUGCUGUGGUGGUUUGCAGUUUCAUAUGCCCUAUAUGGGCUGGUGAAGAUCUUCAUAAUCUCAUUGCAGGCAACAUCGAAAAUCUG
rnacentral:lncRNA from 1 species